CUAAGACACUGCAUCUCCAGUGCUAGAGGUGUCACUACAGACCCUGGUUCAGUGGUCCAAGGCACUGCAUCUCCAGUGCUAGAGGUGUCACUACAGACCCUGGUUCAGUGGUCCAAGGCACUGCAUCUCCAGUGCUAGAGGUGUCACUACAGACCCUGGUUCAGUGGUCUAAGACACUGCAUCUCAGUGCUAGAGGUGUCACUACAGA